rnacentral:rRNA from 1 species
CUUGCCUUGUCUGAUUAGUGGCGAACGGGUGAGUAACACGUGCACUAACCUGCCCCCCUCUUCGGGAUAACCUCGGGUAAAUCGGGGCUAAUACCGGAUAUGACUUCGCACCGCAUGGUGUGUUGUGGAAAGUUUUUCGGUGGCGGAUGGACUCGCGGCCUAUCAGUUUGUUGGUGAGGUAAUGGCUCACCAAGGCGAUGACGGGUAGCCGGCCUGAGAGGGCGACCGGCCACACUGGGACUGAGACACGGCCCAGACUCAUACGGGAGGCAGCAGUGGGGAAUAUUGCACAAUGGGCGGAAAGCCUGGAUGCAGCGACGCCGCGUGGGGGAUGACGGCCUUCGGGUUGUAAACCUCUUUCAGUAGGGAAGAAGCGAAAGUGACGGUACCUGCAGAAGAAGCGCCGGCUAACUACGUGCCAGCAGCCGCGGUAAUACGUAGGGCGCAAGCGUUGUCCGGAAUUAUUGGGCGUAAAGAGCUUGUAGGUGGCUUGUCGCGUCUGCCGUGAAAACCCGAGGCUCAACCUCGGGCGUGCGGUGGGUACGGGCAGGCUAGAGUGUGGUAGGGGAGACUGGAACUCCUGGUGUAGCGGUGAUAUGCGCAGAUAUCAGGAAGAACACCGAUGGCGAAGGCAGGUCUCUGGGCCAUUACUGACACUGAGAAGCGAAAGCAUGGGGAGCGAACAGGAUUAGAUACCCUGGUAGUCCAUGCCGUAAACGUUGGGCACUAGGUGUGGGGAACAUUCCACGUUUUCCGCGCCGUAGCUAACGCAUUAAGUGCCCCGCCUGGGGAGUACGGCCGCAAGGCUAAAACUCAAAGGAAUUGACGGGGGCCCGCACAAGCGGCGGAGCAUGCGGAUUAAUUCGAUGCAACGCGAAGAACCUUACCAAGGCUUGACAUGCACCGGACGACUCCAGAGAUGGGGUUUUCUUCGGACUGGUGCACAGGUGGUGCAUGGUUGUCGUCAGCUCGUGUCGUGAGAUGUUGGGUUAAGUCCCGCAACGAGCGCAACCCUCGUUCCAUGUUGCCAGCGCGUUAUGGCGGGGACUCAUGGGAGACUGCCGGGGUCAACUCGGAGGAAGGUGGGGACGACGUCAAAUCAUCAUGCCCCUUAUGUCUUGGGCUUCACGCAUGCUACAAUGGCCGGUACAAUGGGUUGCGAAACUGUGAGGUGGAGCGAAUCC